rnacentral:rRNA from 1 species
UACGUAGGGAGCAAGCGUUUUUCGGAUUUACUGGGCGUAAAGGGCGCGUAGGCGGCGCGGUAAGUCACUUGUGAAAUCUCUGAGCUUAACUCAGAACGGCCAAGUGAUACUGCAGUGCUAGAGUGCAGAAGGGGCAAUCGGAAUUCUUGGUGUAGCGGUGAAAUGCGUAGAUAUCAAGAGGAACACCUGAGGUGAAGACGGGUUGCUGGGCUGACACUGACGCUGAGGCGUGAAAGCCAGGGGAGCAAACGUG